rnacentral:rRNA from 1 species
UACGUAGGGUGCGAGCGUUUAAUCGGAAUUACUGGGCGUAAAGCGUGCGCAGGCGGUUAUGUAAGACAGUUGUGAAAUCCCCGGGCUCAACCUGGGAAUUGCAUUUGUGACUGCAUUGCUGGAGUGCGGCAGAGGGGGAUGGAAUUCCGCGUGUAGCAGUGAAAUGCGUAGAUAUGCGGAGGAACACCGAUGGCGAAGGCAAUCCCCUGGGCCUGCACUGACGCUCAUGCACGAAAGCGUGGGGAGCAAACAGG